AUGCAAGUCUUUCCGAAUCUAUGGGAGCUUGCUCCCACUGGUUAGCGGCGGACGGGUGAGUAACACGUGGGCAACCUGCCUGUAAGACUGGGAUAACUUCGGGAAACCGGAGCUAAUACCGGAUAAUCUUUUUCAACUCAUGUUGGAAAACUGAAAGUCGGUUUCGGCUGACACUCACAGAUGGGCCCGCGGCGCAUUAGCUAGUUGGUGAGGUAACGGCUCACCAAGGCGACGAUGCGUAGCCGACCUGAGAGGGUGAUCGGCCACACUGGGACUGAGACACGGCCCAGACUCCUACGGGAGGCAGCAGUAGGGAAUCUUCCACAAUGGACGAAAGUCUGAUGGAGCAACGCCGCGUGAGCGAUGAAGGCCUUCGGGUCGUAAAGCUCUGUUGUUAGGGAAGAACAAGUAUCGGAGUAACUGCCGGUACCUUGACGGUACCUAACCAGAAAGCCACGGCUAACUACGUGCCAGCAGCCGCGGUUAUACGUAGGUGGCAAGCGUUGUCCGGAAUUAUUGGGCGUAAAGCGCGCGCAGGCGGUCCUUU
rnacentral:rRNA from 1 species